UCUAGGAAAGUUGACUAAAUAUUUCUUUAUUAUAUUUUGGGUUAAAUUUAUCCUCGUUGUUAUAUUUUGAAAUCAAAUUUAUCACUCUACUUUGAAGAAUGGUCUAAAUAUAUUUUUUAUCAUACUUUGGGAUCGACUUUACCUCGAUGUCAUACUUCAAAGUUAAAUUUAUUGUCGUUGUUAAAAAAAAUCAUAUACACCUUUUUUUUAAUAAAAAAACUCAAAUCUAUGAUAAAUGACUUAUUUUUUAUUUUUUUAUAUAGAAAGAUGAGUUGAAUGGAUGAUCCAGAGUAAAAUUGUCUUUUCAUCAUUCAAUAAGCUCACUCUAGAAGCAUCCCCUCUUGUUCAAAAAAUUUGUAGAAAGAUCUGCCAUUUUAACAAAUAGAAAAAUCUUAUAUUCUCCUCCAACUUUCUUUUACACAAUCACAAUUGGAAGUAAUAGUACAGAGAAAGAAAGGAUGAUUCAAUGCAAUUCAUUGGUUAUGGUUUGUAUCGUCUUUCUCUCUAUUGAAGGAGUAGCCCUUAAAUUGUUCAGGAACCGAGCUAUCCACCUCGAAUAAAUCUGCGAGAGCCACUGCUGAAAUCUAUCACUAUACGGUCAAUAUAUGGGUCAGCAAAGGAUUAUGAAAUCAGUUAAUGAGAUUACAAAUUUUUGUACAUUGGCAUAUAUGGUGUUAUUAUUAAUCAUUGCUUUAGGGAAGUCAACCAAGUGGCAGAUAAGCUAGCUUCCAUGAGCCAUAACAUGAGUUCUGUUAGAGCGUUUACACAUCCCAGCUCUAUGUGCAAGCUAAGGGGUUGCUCAACAUCAAUAGAUGGCAACUCGCGGCCUUAUUCAGAGUUAAGAAAAGAAAAUCAGAAUUUCUGUUUUGAACCUCCUUGAAGUGAGCCUUGGUUGUCACUGACUGAGUCUACUUUUAGUCCGCCUUCCUCACUUGUAGUAAUUUUCCCUGUGGCAAUGAUACAACAACCAAUUAUUCUUGUAAAAGAAGUUCCUUUUUUUGGGCUCAAAUUUUGAAAGUUGGAUAUUUUUAAUCCUCAAAGGAAGAUUUACAUUUUGUC